UACGUAGGUGACAAGCGUUGUCCGGAAUUAUUGGGCGUAAAGGGCUCGUAGGCGGUUUGUCGCGUCGGGUGUGAAAAUCCAGGGCUUAACUCUGGACUGGCUUCCGAUACGGGCAGACUAGAGGUAUGCAGGGGAGAACGGAAUUCCUGGUGUAGCGGUGAAAUGCGCAGAUAUCAGGAGGAACACCGGUGGCGAAGGCGGUUCUCUGGGCAUUACCUGACGCUGAGGAGCGAAAGUGUGGGGAGCGAACAGG
rnacentral:rRNA from 1 species